GGAUGUGAGGACGAUCUGGCUGCGACAUCUGUCACCCCAUUGAUCGCCAGGGUUGAUUCGGCUGAUCUGGCUGGCUAGGCGGGUGUCCCCUUCCUCCCUCACCGCUCCAUGUGCGUCCCUCCCGAAGCUGCGCGCUCGGUCGAAGAGGACGACCAUCCCCGAUAGAGGAGGACCGUUCUUCGGUCAAGGGUGUACGAGUAGCUGCGCUCCCCUGCUAGAACCUCCAAACAAGCUCUCAAGGAAGUAGCUGUGGUGACUAUAGACAAUGUCUAUAAAAUAUAGAUAAUGAUACUUGUACCACCUCUCU
rnacentral:snRNA from 1 species